rnacentral:rRNA from 1 species
CGGUAAUACGUAGGGUGCGAGCGUUAAUCGGAAUUACUGGGCGUAAAGCGUGCGCAGGCGGUUUCGUAAGACAGAGGUGAAAUCCCCGGGCUCAACCUGGGAACUGCCUUUGUGACUGCGAAGCUAGAGUACGGCAGAGGGGGGUGGAAUUCCACGUGUAGCAGUGAAAUGCGUAGAGAUGUGGAGGAACACCGAAUGGCGAAGGCAGCCCCCUGGGCCGAUACUGACGCUCAUGCACGAAAGCGUGGGUAGCAAACAGGAUUAGAUACCCUGGUAGUCCACGCCCUAAACGAUGUCAACUAGGUGUUGGGUGGGUAAAACCAUUUAGUACCGUAGCUAACGCGUGAAGUUGACCGCCUGGGGAGUACGGCCGCAAGGUUAAAACUCAAAGGAAUUGACG